rnacentral:sRNA from 2 species
UCCGGGCGGACGCCGAGUCCUGCCGCCGCCCGGAUGACCGGUCGACAGGAGUGGAUCGGCAGGAGUGGAGGACCCAGGCAAGACGGGUCGCCGGACCGGAUGUACGUCCGUUCGAGACGGAUGGGCAUCAGGCUCCGAGCAGCCCUUGGGGUGAAGCCGCGGCAACGCGGCCGGGCAACUUCGCCAGCCCGAAUCCGACAGGUCAUCCUUCACAGGCGGCUGACGAAGGGUUG